rnacentral:rRNA from 1 species
GAUGAACGCUGGCGGCGUGCCUAACACAUGCAAGUCGAGCGGAGAAUUGUUGCCUGCACCAAUUCUUAGCGGCGGACGGGUGAGUAACACGUGGGUAACCUGCCCUAAACAAAGGGAUAACAAUGAGAAAUCAUUGCUAAUACCGUAUAAGCUUACACUAUCGCAUGAUAGAGUAAGAAAAGAUUUAUCGGUUUAGGAGGGGCCCGCGUCUGAUUAGCUAGUUGGAGAGGUAACGGCUCACCAAGGCGACGAUCAGUAGCCGACCUGAGAGGGUGAUCGGCCACAUUGGGACUGAGACACGGCCCAAACUCCUACGGGAGGCAGCAGUGGGGAAUAUUGCACAAUGGAGGAAACUCUGAUGCAGCAACGCCGCGUGAAGGAAGAAGGUUUUCGGAUCGUAAACUUCUAUCUACAGGGAAGAAAAAAAUGACGGUACCUGAGGAAGAAGCCCCGGCUAACUACGUG